rnacentral:lncRNA from 1 species
UUCGAUACUAUAUUACCAGCUUUUUUAUGGGAUCUCAAACUUGCUAUCAAUUCAUAUGUUAAAGAUACGUAUAAUCAAUGUUAUUCAAGCGUAUUUUAUCACCAACCAGAAAUUUCAUUAUAAGGUGGACAUAGCCAGUCUUCCAUGUUAGAGUACUUGUUCAGCAUCACAAGGUGGACAUAGCCAGUCAUCCAUGUUAGAGUGGCUUCUUUGGCAUCAGAAGGUGGACAUAGCCAGUCAUCGAUGUUAGAGUGGCUUCUUUGGCAUCAUAAGGUGGACAUAGCCAGUCAUCGAUGUUAGAGUGGCUUCUUUGGCAUCAUAAGGUGGACAUAGCCAGUCAUCGAUGUUAGAGUGGCUUCUUUGGCAUCAGAAGGUGGACAUAGCCAGUGAUCGAUGUUAGAGGUGCUUCUUUGGCAUCACUUGGUGGACAUAGCCAGUCAUCAAUGUUAGAGUGGCUUCUAUAUCAUCAUAAGGUGGACAUGCCCAGUCUUCACUGUUAGAGCGGCUUCUUUGGCAUCAAAAGGUGGACAUAGCCAGUGAUCGAUGUUAGAGUGACAUCUUUGGCAUCAUAAGGUGGACAUACCCAGUCAUCGAUGUCAGAGUGGCUUCUUUGGCAU